rnacentral:rRNA from 1 species
UUAAGCUGGGAGGAAGGAGGGGAUGACGUCAAAUCCGCAUGGCCCUUUGAUGCCCUGGGCUACACUCGUGUUACAAUGGCGGUGACAAUGGGUUGCCAACCCGCAAGGGGGAGCUAAUCCCAUCAAACAUCGCCCCAGUUCGGAUUGGGGGCUGAAACCUGCCCCCAUGAAGCCGGAAUCGCUAGUAAUCGCGGAUCAGCAACGCCGCGGUGAAUACGUUCUCGAGUCCUGUACUCACUGCCCGUCAAUGCAAGGAAGCCGGUAAUGGGUGAAAUCUCGCCUCGGCGGGAUCAGCCCAAGAUCGGUGACAUGGCAUAAGUCGUAACAAGGCACGCGUAGCGGAAGCUGUGCGUGGACCAAUUAAACU